rnacentral:rRNA from 1 species
AGUACGGUCGCAAGAUUAAAACUCAAAGGAAUUGACGGGGACCCGCACAAGCGGUGGAUGAUGUGGAUUAAUUCGAUGCAACGCGAAAAACCUUACCUACCCUUGACAUGUCACUAACGAAGUAGAGAUACAUUAGGUGCCCGUAAGGGAAAGUGAACACAGGUGCUGCAUGGCUGUCGUCAGCUCGUGUCGUGAGAUGUUGGGUUAAGUCCCGCAACGAGCGCAACCCUUGUCUUUAGUUGCUACGCAAGAGCACUCUAAAGAGACUGCCGGUGACAAACCGGAGGAAGGUGGGGAUGACGUCAAGUCCUCAUGGCCCUUAUGGGUAGGGCUUCACACGUCAUACAAUGGUGCGUACAGAGGGUUGCCAACCCGCGAGGGGGAGCUAAUCUCUUAAAACGCAUCGUAGUCCGGAUCGUAGUCUGCAACUCGACUACGUGAAGCUGGAAUCGCUAGUAAUCGCGGAUCAGCAUGUCGCGGUGAAUACGUUCCCGGGUCUUGUACACACCGCCCGUCACACCAUGGGAGUGGGUUUUGCCAGAAGCAGUUAGCCUAACCGUAAGGAGGGCGAUUGCCACGGCAGGGUUCAUGACUGGGGUG